rnacentral:rRNA from 1 species
UACGGAGGAUGCGAGCGUUAUCCGGAUUUAUUGGGUUUAAAGGGUGCGUAGGCGGCUUUUUAAGUCAGCGGUGAAAUUUUGCAGCUUAACUGUAACAGUGCCGUUGAUACUGGGGAGCUAGGAUUUGGUUGCUGUGGGUGGAAUGUGUGGUGUAGCGGCGAAAUGCUUAGAGAUCACACAGAAUAUCGAUUGCGAAGGCAGCUCACAAAGCCAAGAUUGACGCUGAGGCACGAAAGUGUGGGGAUCAAACAGGAUUAGA